GAAAUGCGAUAAGUAAUGUGAAUUGCAGAAUUCAGUGAAUCAUCGAAUAUUUGAACGCACAUUGCGCCCGCCAGUAUUCUGGCGGGCAUGCCUGUUCGAGCGUCAUUACAACCCUCAGGCCCCCGGGCCUGGCGUUGGGGAUCGGCGGAAGCCCCCUGCGGGCACAACGCCGUCCCCCAAAUACAGUGGCGGUCCCGCCGCAGCUUCCAUUGCGUAGUAGCUAACACCUCGCAACUGGAGAGCGGCGCGGCCACGCCGUAAAACACCCAACUUCUGAAUGUUGACCUCGAAUCAGGUAGGAAUACCCGCUGAACUUAAGC
rnacentral:misc_RNA from 1 species